CAGCCGCCGCGGUAAUACGAAGGGGGCUAGCGUUGCUCGGAAUUACUGGGCGUAAAGGGAGCGUAGGCGGAUCGUUUAGUCAGGGGUGAAAUCCCGGGGCUCAACCUCGGAACUGCCUUUGAUACUGGCGAUCUUGAGUAUGGGAGAGGUGUGUGGAACUCCGAGUGUAGAGGUGAAAUUCGUAGAUAUUCGGAAGAACACCAGUGGCGAAGGCGUCACACUGGCCCAUUACUGACGCUGAGGCUCGAAAGCGUGGGGAGCGAACAGGAUUAGAUACCCCCGUAGUCCCUGUCUCUUAUAC
rnacentral:rRNA from 1 species